ensembl:lncRNA novel transcript, antisense to PROP1
GCUGCAGUGUUGUGAGUUGGAAGCUGGGGAGCUCGGCAUGGCGGUCCCCGCUGCAGCCAUGGGGCCCUCGGCGUUGGGCCAGAGCGGUCCCGGCUCGAUGGCCCCGUGGUGCUCAGUGAGCAGCGGCCCGUCGCGCUACGUGCUUGGGAUGCAGGAGCUGUUCCGGGGCCACAGCAAGACGCGCGAGUUCUGGCGCACAGCGCCAAGGUGCACUCGGUGGCCUGGAGUUGCGACGGGCGUCGCCUAGCCUCGGGGUCCUUCGACAAGACGGCCAGCGUCUUCUUGCUGGAGAAGGACCGGUUGGUCAAAGAAAACAAUUAUCGGGGACAUGGGGAUAGUGUGGACCAGCUUUGUUGGCAUCCAAGUAAUCCUGACCUAUUUGUUACGGCGUCCGGAGAUAAAACCAUUCGCAUCUGGGAUGUGAGGACUACAAAAUGCAUUGCCACUGUGAACACUAAAGGGGAGAACAUUAAUAUCUGCUGGAGUCCUGAUGGGCAGACCAUUGCUGUAGGCAACAAGGAUGAUGUGGUGACCUUUAUUGAUGCCAAGACACACCGUUCCAAAGCAGAAGAGCAGUUCAAGUUCGAGGUCAACGAAAUCUCCUGGAACAAUGACAAUAAUAUGUUCUUCCUGACAAAUGGCAAUGGUUGUAUCAACAUCCUCAGCUACCCAGAACUGAAGCCUGUGCAGUCCAUCAACGCCCAUCCUUCCAACUGCAUCUGUAUCAAGUUUGACCCCAUGGGGAAGUACUUUGCCACAGGAAGUGCAGAUGCUUUGGUCAGCCUCUGGGAUGUGGAUGAGUUAGUGUGUGUUCGGUGCUUUUCCAGGCUGGAUUGGCCUGUAAGAACCCUCAGUUUCAGCCAUGAUGGGAAAAUGCUGGCGUCAGCAUCGGAAGAUCAUUUUAUUGACAUUGCUGAAGUGGAGACAGGUAACUUCAUGAGAAUCUACCGUCUUUCACCUUUGGCAGUCAGGACUUCUCUUGUGAUCUCAUCUCUGCAUGUGACUACUUCACCAGCAUGAUCAUGAAUGAAUUUGUCUCCUUUAGACAAGUAUGUUUCUGUUUUGACUGUCACUGCCAGGUGGUGAGGAAGCAAAGAGUUAAGAAAUAAACAGGCAGGUCUGAGGAAGGUGAUUUAGAAAAAUAUUUUGAUUUAUUUAAACUUUAAACUACAGAGUAGAAGGAAGAAAAAAGCACCACUUGGGGUCCCACUCUCUAAAUACCACCUGUUUUAAAUGUUGUGAUAUAUUUCUCUUUAUCUUUUGCCUGUAUAUGAACUUGAAAAAAUAUUAUUUAAAAUUUGAGGAAUUAUAAAGUUUUUGCUUUAAAAACAACAGAAGCUGGAAAUAGAAAAAUGGGAGGAGAGUAUUCAUUUUGCAAAAGAAUUUCCUCAGAUUUGUUUUUUAAUGUUGCUUUAUUGUUUUUGGAAAUCUGUGACACUCUUCGUAAAAAGAUUAAAACUGUAUAGAAAACUUCGAAGAGGAAAGUAAAGAACUUGAAAUUCCACUAUGUAAAGAAUGCUCCUGUUAGUCACGUUGUGGUGAACAUUGUCCAGCAUCCAGCCAUGCAGAUCCUUCAUGUAACUGCAUGUCCCUGUGACGCGGAGACACUUUCCUGCUCAGUGACCUGCUCUUGAGUUAACCCACCUGUGCUCAGAACCGGCUCUGUCCUCCGCUGGCUUGUGGGCUCUCUGUGCCUGGGGGUUCUCUGUAAAAUGAGGUAAUAGUUGUAUCUAUCUCAUGGGAUUAGUAGGUGGAUUAAACCAGUUAAUACAGGUAAGUACUUAAUGAAUGUGUCCUUCGUUUUGAACGUAUUGAUUGGUUUCUCUCUAUUGUUUUCUAUAGGGGACAAACUAUGGGAGGUACAGUGUGAGUCUCCGACCUUCACAGUGGCAUGGCACCCCAAAAGGCCUCUGCUGGCAUUUGCCUGUGAUGACAAAGACGGCAAAUAUGACAGCAGCCGGGAAGCCGGAACUGUGAAGCUGUUUGGGCUUCCUAAUGAUUCUUGAGAGGAGGUUGUAGGGAGAGGAGGCCCCGGCAGAGGUCUUCCUUCAUGUGGUUAGUUUGGUCUGUUCUCUCGGAGUUGGUGGGCACCCUAAAUAUUUGUAAGUUGGUAUAAAUUGUAAACGUCUCUGGUCAGGCUGCGCAUUUCGUUCUUUUGCUUUGUCUGUGUAUUAGCUCUUUCCAUUCUUUGCCCCCAGCAUGAGUUAACUCGCGUGGACUCUGCAGUGCGAGUAGUGACCCCAGCAUACCUUGUCCUCUGGACCUCCUGUCUUCUCUGCUUCUGGGUGCAUGGUAGACUUUGUGGCAUUUGAUACAACUUGGACAAUACCUAGUUUGGAGGGAGGGGAAUGGAAGGGCAUGGAAGUUUUUUUAAAUAAUUAAAAAAAUAUAUAUAUAAUUUUGAGAAUUGAGCAUUUAAUAAACUGACUUUUGUUAUUAUGGAACUUC